rnacentral:lncRNA from 1 species
GACUUCAAUGGAGAUACCUCUGGAGAAAUAAAGUUAAAUGUUAGCAUAGUUAUUCAUAGGCGAAAUUGUAUAUAAGUAUUGAAAGAAUUGACACAGCAAGUGGAACAUAUCUACUCAGAACCCACUGUUGAAUUCUAGGUGAUGGACCUCAUAAAAAUCUACUGAUGAAUGAUGAGUACACUUUUGUAGGAAUACUACUGGGCCACUACAUUUACUGGUUUUUUGUUCAUACAUCAAUCAAGAAAUUGAUUACUUAUGAUAUACAAAGUUGAGAAUACUUCCUGAUAAAUAGCUCUUACUAUUUUAAAAGGUUUACAAUCAACUUUUUACCACUUCCGAAUUUCACAACCAUGACCAUUAUAAGUGAGUCUUUCUAACUCUAAUAAUAAUGGUCCAAUAGUCUUACCAAAAUUGUCGCAUUCAUAAAGAGUUCGACUCAAAACUCACUCGAAUUGAUUAACUGAAUUUAGUCAUACAAAAAGGGUGACUAAUUAGUCAAAUCCAUACAAAAGGAUCCAACUUGUAUUUCAAUUGGGAAUUGUGGAAUUCAAGGAUCAUUAAAAAUAUGAAGAAAUUUGAAAUGAAACCAUUUCAUAUAAUCAACCGAUCAGAAACUAAUCAAUAAUAGCAAAUUAAACAGGAAUGUCUUACCUGGUCAUCUAUUUCAUCAGAGAUGUAAAGAACCAGAGAUAUAUGAAGGACUACAAUACGAAUGACACCGUAUUCCUGUAAAGAACCAGAGAUGUAAAGAACCGUAAUAGUCCUAAAUGGCGCCCAUGUUUUACAUAUGUGAAGAACUACAAUACGUUAUAAUUAAUUAAUACUAUAAUACCAAACAUCCAGUUCAUUAAGACUUACAUUUUUUUAUUUGCUAACGGUAAUUUAUAUUAAAGUUAAUAAAAAAAAAAAAUUACAAUGGAGAUUAUAAUAGCCCAAGCAUUCAGUUACAAACAAAUCUGUACUAUCCCACGUUAGGGUUCUCAAUAGGCAGGUUGUAUGGUGGCUUGCCUUGCCACCAGUGUCUCCCCCCUUCUCCAAGUGGCUACAUUUUUUGGUACACGCAUCAGACGCAAAGUUUGCUACUCUCUUGUUCAUUUAUGAGCAAGACAUUAGGUACUUAUUUUUUGACUUCCUCCCAUUCAGCCUUUAUCUUCCAGUGAACAGAGUUAUUUUCAAAUGACUUCAUUGCCGCUUCAGAAUCGGCUUCAACAGAUAAGUUGCUCCAUCCCUGCUUGGCAGCUAUUUUGACACCCUCUUUUAUAGGUAUAAACUCAACAAAAUAAAGUAUGGAGAAGGCGUCCCUUAGUUUUAAGAGGACAUAAUAGAGUAUCGAGUCUGACACGACGCCACCUAAGGAUACUUUUCUCUACUGAUGCAUGUAAAUUUCACUUAGAUAAGACUCCGCAGGCAAAGUGAAUCUGAAAGGCCCAAACUAAGACAAAAACCUGAGCACACAUGUUGGAAAAAAUUAUUGACUGAUAGGUGAAUGAGAUGAGAGUUCAAAACAUACUCUGGGAUGGCCUGUAUGAAGUAAUGAAACCACCAUAUAAGUUUGUCUUUAAACCAAUUAAGGGACCCACACAAAUCAAUUUUGAUUAAGCCAAAUUUGAAUGGUCUAAAGUGGACCAUGACCUCACUGUUGUUAGAUUAUAGAAAUGUCUGGUAGAAUGGAUUUUUGGUUAGGCAAUAAGCUUUACUAAAGCUUAUACUCAAGCCAGAUCUGUUCCCUAUAAGACAAGCCUUAGGCUUGUACAUGCUAGGUAUGUAUUGUAUACCAAAUCAUACCUUGUCAGCAAUCUGUUAUAUGCAAUUAUAUCACCUUGCUGUUUGUUAGAUUUUUUAAAUGCGGCAUUAAUCUUGGCAAAGCUAUUUGGUCCUACAAUUGUACAUUACUACGAGAUGAAUAAUUCAGAGGACAUAGGAAGUUAAAAUGAGUAAAAAAUGAAGCUUGGUCAAUUAAAAUAAAAAGUGGGUUAAGUUUUGAUACUUUUUAGUAUAAUAAAGCAACUAUCUUAGUCAUAGGCAUGAAACACUUAUCAUGUAAAUAUUUGACAAUGAGAAAGUGCUAGAAAAGGAGAAGGAAUAUAGAAAAUACCAGUGAAGAGGAGAGCUGUUGGAACAAUCAGCAGUUGCCAAAUUCAACAGAGAAGAAAACCUGAAGAAGACAAUUUAAUAUUUUACAUAAGCAGCCACAUGUCUAUGUAAUUUAAAUUUAACUACAUGAAUAUCUACCCGAUUGGAAAGCAAACUCAACUGCAUCAUCCAACUGUACAACAAAUGAACAAACCUAAUGCCCACAUGAACAAAUCUAAUUUACAGAACACGAUAUCAGUGAUAUAAUUAGUAAAAAGUAAUUUUGAGCUUACUUCAGAUCCUUGAACAAAUAAAGAACAAUUGGAAAUUUUUUAAUAACUGUAAUAUAAGAGAAAUUACAAACUACAG